AUUUCGUACCCCACGGCGGGAUAUACGUAUACUGUGAGGUGUGAGCGGGACCUAACCCUAAUUCCCCACCUCCAUAUUGUGCCGCCGCCCUUCUCUCCACUAUCGCCCCGUCGCCGGGUAGAAGAACAUCGACACCCAAGACUCCUCCGCCCCGUCUCCUUCGAUCCUUGACGACACUCACCUGUCGCCCCGUUAAGGUGUGGAGAUGCCGGAGGGCCGCAGGAUCUGCUGUGGCGUGUGGUCGCGGGAGGCGGAUCUCGCAGGGCUCGAGAGGCGGGCAGGACGGCCGCCGCGGGGAUCUUCCGGAGCGAGCGCACCGGCAGCGUGUGCGCCACUGCCCGAGGUGCGUCGUUUGCUCUCGUCUCGCGUCAGUGAUUGCAAUUUGGGGGCUAUUUGUUGUGGGUGUUCACGAAGCAGGGAGUGCAGCCACGGGAGCUAAGCCAAUAUCUCAAAUGAGGAUGUAUUCUCUCGUUCUCUCCAUCCCCCAUCUCCCCUUCACGCCUCUCUCUUUGCUGUAGCUAAUUCUAGAUUUUUAAUGUGGCGUUUCUCUAUGUGAUUCUUGAUAGAUGCUCCUGUUGACCGGCUUAGGAGAUAAUUUACAAUGUAAACUGUAAAUUGCUAGCUACUGACUGUAAAUUGUAACAUUUACACAUGUUUGCAAACAUGUACAAGAACUGUGUGUGGGAAGUUGUGCCACUGUACAUAUAGCUUAAUUGUAUAACUAUGGCAUGCAGGGGUUUGUAUAUGCCAUUGUUCAUGUUAUUAAUUUGCUUCUACAUUAGUUCAUUUUCUCCAUGCUUUAGCAUUCGUGCUUUCAUUCAUAUUUCCUCUGGUAUUUUCUGAUUUAGCUAUUGCUUUGUAGGUCCUGUAUAGAUGGCAUGUCACCUUUACAGUUGAAGUAUCUUACAUGUUUAUUACUCUUUUUUUUUCUCUUAUACUUUCCACAGCAGCGGCGGCUCGCACUCUGACAUCCUGCCCGUCUUGCCGGAUGUUGAUGGCGCUAGAGAGCAGUACAAGGAGAGAAGGAAGAGCCGGUGCCACUCCUGCUGCACCACAUGGCCAGGUGGUGGUAGGUAGCCAGCCGCUGGGACUCUGAUGCCAGAGUAAGCGGUGCACACAGUGAGCAAUCGGCAGGUUGUCGUGGCGUUGGUGGAGGGAAGAAGAUAUCUACAUUCGCCUACGAGAGGUCUAGAUAAUGCAGCAGAAAGGGCCCUAUAGGUUGGGAGAGGUCCUGAUGACUCAGCAGCAAGAAUGGACUUGCAGGUCCGGCUAUCUGGAAGUUGUUGCAUUGUUUAUCAUUCUUUCUUUGACUCAUAUUGUUCUUACGUGGGUUCAUUUUGUGGUAGAUUUAGCUGGCAGUGUUUGAUAGCUGGAAUAUUGUAAUUGACUUAAUAAUUGUUGUGAAAAUAAUUUCAUGUCUUAUUUGGUUA